rnacentral:rRNA from 1 species
GAUGAACGCUGGCGGCGUGCCUAAUACAUGCAAGUCGAGCGAACAGACGAGGAGCUUGCUCCUCUGACGUUAGCGGCGGACGGGUGAGUAACACGUGGAUAACCUACCUAUAAGACUGGGAUAACUUCGGGAAACCGGAGCUAAUACCGGAUAAUAUAUUGAACCGCAUGGUUCAAUAGUGAAAGACGGGUUUGCUGUCACUUAUAGAUGGAUCCGCGCCGCAUUAGCUAGUUGGUAAGGUAACGGCUUACCAAGGCAACGAUGCGUAGCCGACCUGAGAGGGUGAUCGGCCACACUGGAACUGAGACACGGUCCCGACUCCUACGGGAGGCAGCAGUAGGGGAUCUUCCGCAAUGGGCGAAAGCCUGACGGAGCAACGCCGCGUGAGUGAUGAAGGUCUUCGGAUAGUAAAACUCUGUUAUUAGGGAAGAACAAAUGUGUAAGUGACUAUGCACGUCUUGACGGUACCUAAUCAGAGAGCCACGGCUAACUACGUG